GACAGAGGUGCCGAGCGUUAGGCGGAAUCACUGGGCUUAAAGCGUGUGUAGGCGGAUCGUUAAGUGCCUUGUGAAAUCCCACGGCUCAACCGUGGAACUGCUUGGCAUACUGGCGAUCUUGAGCCACUUAGGGGCUACCGGAACAAAUGGUGGAGCGGUGAAAUGCGUAGAUAUCAUGUGGAACGCCAAUGGUGAAAACAGGUAGCUGGGAGUGUGCUGACGCUGAGACACGAAAGCCAGGGGAGCAAACGGG
rnacentral:rRNA from 1 species